rnacentral:lncRNA from 1 species
GGUUUCUCCAUGCUGGUGGCUGGUCUCAAACUCCCGACCUCAGGUGAUCUGCCCGCCUUGGCCUCCCAAAAUGCUGGGAUUACAGGCAUGAGCCACUGCACCCAGCCCUGAUUUUUUUCAUAAUCAAAAGUUGAGUGGAAAUUUGUGUAUGAAUUACUAACCACUCCAUGCACUUUCUUUUUCUUCCCUGAACCCCUGAGCAGAGCUUCCCAAAACAACAAGGGCAGCAUGUGACAGGUUGAGGGACCAUGGAGGUCAUCUUGUCCUACCCCUGAAUGGAACUGUAAAGAACAAGAGGUAUGGUCCUAACACAGUGAGUGCAGACUCUGGACCAGCCUCCUUGAGGCAUUGUUGUUCUUUCUAGUAAGAGAAUGAGCUCUGAAGUCAGAAAAAUCUGGAUGCGGAGCCUGUCUGUGUUACCUCAGGCAAGUCACUUAACAUCUCUGAGACGUAUCUUCCUAAUCAGUGAACAAGGAUCAUAAGCCACCUCUCACAUAGCCAUUAUUAGGAUGAAGUGAGAAAAAUGUGUACAAAGGGCCAGGAACAGAACUGCCAAUAACCAAGAAUCUCAAUUAAUAUUGAUUCUUAUUACUCCUGCCUCCAGAUCCUCACCUCCCUUUAUUUUUCUGCCUUUCCUACAGUCACCCCUUUCAACAUCCACCUCAUAUGGGCACGUAUUAAAAAUGCCACAUGCAGGAUUAUAAUGCAAAUGGGUUCCUGUUUCUUCUUGUGGGUGUUCUUGCCCUGCCAUUUGGUGUGAGCAUGCUGUGCCACUCUGCUGAGGAAGUGUCAUUAAUAGCUGUUCAAGGCCUCACUGCCUCCCAAACACAACAGAAGAAGGUGACUUCAGCCCACAUUAUUACAAAAUAAGAUUCUUAAGAAAGCAGGAGUGGUUUAGGCCGGGUGCGGUGGCUCAUGCCUGCAAUCCCAGCACUUUGGGAGGCCAAGGCGGGUGGAUCACCUGAGGUCGGGAAUUUGAGACCAGCCUGACCAACAUGGAGAAACCCUGUCUCUACAAAAAGUAGAAAAUCAGCUAGGCAUGGUGGCACAUGCCUGUAAUCCCAGCUACUCCGGAGGCUGAGGCAGGAGAAUCUCUUGAACCUGGGAGGCGGAGAUUGCACCAUUGCACUCCAGCCUGGGCAACAAUAGCAAAACUCUUGUCUAAAAAAAAAAAAAAAAAGAAAGAAAAAAAAAAGGCAGGAGUGGUUUAAAAGCAGAUUUUUAAAAAAAGCAAAUACACAAUGUUAGAAAAAAAAUAUAAAACUAGAAAUUAUUUGGCAUUUAGAUGGGUAUAGUUUAUUGUGUGCUACAACUCACAUACAGAAAGAACCAAAGACCCUUAAAGUAAAAACAAUAAUUUGUGGAGUAUUUAAUACCUAUCAAGUAGUACGCUAGGCAUCUUAUAGGUGUGAUGAAAUUAAUCAUUAUAGCAACUCUAUGAGGGAGGUAUUCCCCUUUUAUAGAUGAGAAUGCUGAGGCUUAGAGAGGUUUGUCUGGUAAGUGCUUUAUCUUGUAAAGGUGUAGAACCACAUUUGCUUCUGGGUGCCCCUCCAAAGCUUGCAUGUUUAUUAACCAGUAAGGUGCAUCAGGCUAUGGAGUUACCCUGCGCAGAAGAGGCUUCACAGAAAUCACUGUGGUGACAAUGGUCCAGCUGAACUUUUGUUAUUUUUUUCGAACAAUAUCAGCCUGGAAGUUCAGUCAAGGCUGUAAACUUAUGGUGUAAUCCAGCCCAACUCACUGACUGGCUGAAACAGAAUCUCCUUUUGAGCCCUCCCACUCUCAGAAGUGUGAUCUUUUGUGAGUCUCCCAAACUUAAAAUAACCCAGGGGCCUUAUGGCCUCCCAAGCAGUGGGAUGCUUCCAACCAAUCAAUCCAAGACUGUGUGAGUGCUGGUGUCAAAGGCAUUGUCCACUGCAGGAUGUUGACAGUGAGUCCUCUGGCUUCCUCUGCUUAGUGCCUUAUCAGUCGCUUAUGCAGGCAACCUAUAAGCUGAGCCCUGAGAGGGAACUCAGAAGUGCUUAUCUACAGCAGAACCCCCUCUAAGGGAGUAAACUUCUAGGUCGCCUUGGGCCAAUUCCACAGCUCUUUCUGUUUCUACUCCCAGAGUCUCACCAAAUCAGAAAGUGGCUUUUGGCCCUCCUCUUCUCUGUGUACCUGGCUGCUGUCUGUCCUGGGUUUCAGUCUCAGUCCUUUCUGAAACUACCCCUUUCCUCUCCUGUGGCCACUGGCCUCCGUGACCCACAAAACAUAUACCUUUUCCCACCAACAAGCCUGACUCAGGGUUUGUCUCAGCUUGAAUCAGAGGCUUUUCUACGCCAAUACUAGCAAUUAGGGGUGAGGGCUUCAACAUAGGAAUUUGGGAGGACACACUUAGUCUAUAAUACUGUGGCAGCACCACAUCGGGGCAGUCUAAUGAUUCUACAUCUGUCAUGUCUGCCUCCCAAGCUGUGUACUCAAGGCCCAAGGGUGUCCUCCUUAGGAGCACCCUGCAGCUAAAGUCUGAAGUCUAGACCCUCCUCAGAGCAGGGCCCAGUUCUGUACAGAUCCCAGCAGGGUCCGCAGUGUACUCUCUCCUCCUGGACAGUGCCCUGGGGAAAUCCCUUUUGUAAUCCAGAGGGAGGCUUGCUCUCCUUCUCGUGUCCCCCAGGCCUCUGCCUCUUCCUCAAACUGUGUCCACUUCCAUGGGUUUGGUUCUUGGACAACCAAACCCAGGAGAAUCUAAAAACUCUUCUGCUACCCAUCAUGCCCUGGGUCUCUCCUGAGGCAGUGAAACGAGAAUGAGAAGUGGGCAGUGGUAGAGAACAGAAAACGUUUUGGAAAAAAACAUAAGCUAAUGGUUCAGACUAUCACUCAGCCACAAUACUAUGCAAAGAAUAUCUGCUCAAUACACAGUACAGCGGGGGCGCUCCUCCUCUCUCACUACAGGGACUGUAGGGGCUCUGGGACUCUCUCACUACAGGGACUGGCAGGUGCUCUGGGACUGGGGCCAGAAACUCAGGUCAAAGCCGCCCCUGCUGCACACCACUUAAUGCCCCAAACUCACCUUCCUUCAGGGAAAAUACGGAAUGUCUUUAAAAGAAUCAGGUCAAAAAAUGUUGCUUUUCAGGCCGGGCAUGGUGGCUCACACCUGUAAUCCUGGCACUUUGGGAGGCCUGGGCAGGCGGAUCACCUGAGUUCAAGAGUUCAAGACCAGCCUGGCCAACAUGGUGAAACCCCAUCUCUGCUAAAAAAUACAAAAAUUAGCCAGGCAUGGUGGCGGGCACCUGUAAUCCCAGCUACUCAGGAGGCUGAGGCAGGGAGAAUUGCUUUGACACAGGAGAUGGAGGUUGCAGUGAGCCGAAUGCACUGCACUCCAGCCUUGGCAACAAAGUGAAACUCUGUCUCAAAAAAAAGAAAAAAAAAGAGUUCCUUUUCAGGAGUAACUGAAGUCGAAUUAUCUGACAGGUAGGGUUUCCAAAGUUCACACAAACAUUGUUUCUAAAGUUUAUACAAAAGCCUUAUCUCUAGAGUAUGAAUACUAUCAGGUAUUGAGAAAGGGUAUAACUCUACUCAUUUCCCUAAAAUGUACCCAGAAACUAUGGACUAAUAUAGUGCAUACUAUAACCUAUAAUAUUCAGAAGUGAAUCUGUUUCACUCAAAUAAAUGUAGCUCUUUCUUCACUUGGUCAUGACUUUCCUAUUUCAGACAUUUUAGGCACAAAGGCCUGCUUCAGGCACUUGAACAGUUGGAUUUUGAUGCAGGUUUUGAUGCUUGAAUAAGAAUGAAGAGAUGCCCUUCAAAACUUCUCUCCUUUUGAGCUGCAGAUUCUUUUCAUUUCUGAUUCUCAAAAGCACAGCCUGGUCAAAUCGUUUAUCAGCUGUGAUCUAAACAGAAUGUUGCUUGUCUUUGGGUCUAACCAGCCUGUAGAGAUGUCCCACACCUAUCCUCAGGGAAUGAAGGUCCCAGGAAGACUGGCAUUCCACAGUGGACAACCCAAGGGCCCCUGGGGAAAGCCUCCUUCCACAAGCUGGUGAUGGCAGGGUCAGCAGUCGAGUGUCUCUGAGAGCUGCUCCCUGACCUUUAUGUGGCCAGGAAGGAUACAGAUGCAUGUGAAUGAGAUUGGGCAGUGCCUGCUGAAUUCAUUAAAUCAAUAUUCUGUGCACAUCCCACUUAAUCAGUAGACAUAGUCUGGUUCUGUGCAUUUUGUGGAUAGCUGAAGGAUUUUUGUGGCAAAUACUAAACACUGAGCAAAGUGGGCUUCUCUGAAACCAAGUAGGUUUUUGAGCAGCCUCUUUCUGCUUUCAGUUGAUGUGAGCUCAGGAAAUGGGAAUUGAUUUUAUCCUAGGCAGAACUUAAUUAGAGAGGAAGAUUGUUGCCAAAACACCCCAAGCUUCAUUUCAAAGUCAAAUCAAAAUGAUUUUUGUAUUAUUCACUGGUUCGGAUUGCACAGAUGCUCCAGGUUUGUAUUUUAGCAGCACUGUAUCAGAAAGUAGGUAGCCUUAACUAUUCUUACCUUUGGAAUCCGCUAAAAUUUUCUUACCCACUUAUUGUUAGAUCCAUGAUAAUAAUCUGGAAGUUCCCAGAUAAAGGUGAGGUAGGGAAAAUAAAACCAUCAUGGGGAAUGCUGGCAGAAAUCACUGUAGGGUAUAAUUGGGAGAAUAGAAUUUAAUACAUUGCACAUGUUUGUUCUCUCCCAUGGAUGGUGAGGUUUUUUGAUUUUUGUUUUUUGUUUUGAGACAGAGUCUCACGCUGUUGCCUGGCCUGGAGUGCAGUGGUGAUAUGUGGGCUCACUGCAACCUCCACCUCCUGAGUUCAAGCGAUUCUCCUGCCUCAGCCUCCCUAGUAGCUGCAAUUACAGGCAUGUGCCACCACACCCGGCUAAUUUUGUAUUUUAGUAGAGACAGGGUUUCUCCAUGUUGGUCAGGCUGGUCUUGAACUCCCGACCUCAGGUGAUCCGCCCACCUCGGCCUCCCAAAGUGCUGGGAUUACACGCAUGAGCCACCGCGCCCAGCCGAGGUUGAGCACUUUUUAUUUUUUAUUUUUUAUAACUUCAUUAAGAUAUAAUUCGUCUACCUUACAAUUCACUCAUUUAAAGUAUACAGUUCAAUGGCUUUUAGUUUAUGCAGGCUGUGCAACCAUCACAAACAAUUUUAGAAUAUUUUCAUCACCCCCAAGAGCAACCCUGUACCCAUUAGCAGUUAUUUCUCAGUCCCCCUCAAGUUCCUCUGCCCUGAUGACUUUAUGUCUCUAUAGAUUACUUACUGUGGACAUUUCCUAUAGCUGGAAUCAUACAAUAUGUGGUUGUUUGUGACUGGCUCCUUCAACUUACCAUAAAGUUUUUAAGGUUUAUUCAUGUUUUAGUGCAUACCAGUACUUCCUUCUUCUUUACUGCUGAAUAAUCUUCCAUUGUACGGAUAUGCCUCAUUUUAUUUAUCCAUUCAUCAUUUGAAUGUUAUAAAGAAAUACAACACAUAGAUUGUUUCUACUUUUAGCUAUAAUGAAUAAUGUUGCCAUGAACGUUCAUGUACAUAUUUUUGUGUGGAUAUAUAUUUUUAUUCCUUCUGGCUAUACACUUAGGAGUGGAAUUGCUGAGUCAUGUCGUGACUCUAUGUUUAACCUCUUGAGGAACUGCUAGACUAUUUUCCAAAGUCGCUGCACCAUUUCAUAUACCCACCAGUGUUGUAUGAGGGCUUCACUUUCUCCAUAUCUUCACCAAUUUAUCUGUCUUUUGAUUAUAGUAAUUCCAUGUGAAGUGAUGGCUCAAUUUGGUUUUGAUUUACAUUUCCAUUGUGGCUAGUGAUGUUGAGUAUCCUUUCAUGUGAUUAUGGGCCAUUUGUACUUCUUCUUUGGAAAUAUGCCCAUUCAGAUCCUUUGCCCACUUUUAAAUUGGGUUGUCUCUUUAUUGUCAAAUAGUAAGAGUUUGUAAUAUGUCUUACAUACACGUCUCAUCAGAUAUAGAAUUCACAAACAUUUUCUGCCAUUUGGUGGGUUGUCUUUUCACUUUCUUGAUGGUAUUCUUUGAAAGACAAAAGUUUUAAAUUUCGAGGAUGUCCAAUUUAUCUCUUCUCUUCUGGUGCUUGUCUUUUUGGUGUCAUAUCUAAGAAAUCAUUGCCAUGUUCAAAGUCAUGAAGAUUUUUGCUUAUGUUUUCUUUCUAGAAUUUUAUAAUUUCAGCUCUCAGGUUAGAUUUAUUUUGACUUAAAUUUUGUAUAUAGUGUUAGGUAUGAGUCCAACUUCAUUCUUCUGCAUGUGGAUCUCCAGUUGUCUCAGCACCAUUUCUUGAAAAGACUAUUUUUUUCUCGUUGAAUUAUCUUAGCACACUUGUUGAAAAUCAAUUGACCCUAAAUGUGAGGACUUAUUUCUGGACUCUCAAUUCUAUCCCACUGAUCUAUAUGUCUUUCUUUUCCUUCCUUCCUUCCUUCCUCCUUCCUUCCCUUCCCUUCCUCCCUUCCUUCCAUCCUUCCUCUUUCUUUUCUUUUUUCUUUUCUUUUCUUUUCUCUUUCUUUCUUUUCUCUCUCUUUCUCUCUUUCUUUCUCUCUCUCUCUUUCUUUCCUCUUCCUCUUCUUCUUCUUUCUUCUUUUUUUUUGUUGACAGAGUCUUGCUCUGUGCCCAGGCUGGAUUGCAGUGGUGCGAUCUUGGCUCAUUGCAACCUCCACCUACCUGGUUCAAGCGAUUCUUGUGCCUCAGCUUUUUGAGAGGCUGGGAUUACAGGUGCCUGCCACCACACUUGGCUAAUUUUUGUAUUUUUGGUAAAGAUGGGGUUUUGCCAUGUUGGCCAGGCUGAUCUCGAAUUCCUGACCUCACUGGAUCCACCCGCCUCGGCCUCCCAAAGUCCUGGGAUUACAGACAGGAGGCACUGCGCCUGGCCUAUAUGUUUUUCUUUAUGCCAGUACAAAACUGUUUUGACUACUGCAGCAUUGUAGUAAGUUUUGUAAUUGGGAGGUAUGAAUUUUCCAGAUUUCCAUUUUCAUCUGGAAUCUUCUUUUACAAGAUUGUUCUGACUAUCCAAGGUCCUUUGAAUUUCCAUAUGAAUUUUAGGUUCAGCUUGUCAAUUUCUGUAAAGAAACCAGCUGGAAUUUUGAUAAGGAUUGCAUUGAAUCUGUAAAUCAAUUUGGGGAAUACAGUCUGCCACCUUUACAAUAUUAAGUCUUCCAUUCUGUGAACACAGAAUGUCUUUUCAUUUAUUUAGGUAUUCUGUAAUGUUUUUCAAUAAGGUUUUGUGGCACAUUGCAAUGGUCCAUGCCUGUAAUCCCAGCUCUUUGGGAGGCCAAGGUGGGAGGAUUGCUUGAGCCCAGGAGUUCAAGACCAGCCUGGGCAAUAUAGUGAGAACCUAUCUCUACAAAAAAAUUUUUAACAAAUCAGCAUAGUGGCACAUGCCUGUAGUCCCAGCUACUUGGAGGUGCUGAGGUGGGAUGAUCGUUUGAGCCCAGGAGUUCAAGACCAGUCUGGGCAAUAUAGUGAGAACCCAUCUCUACAAAAAAAUUUUUUAACAAAUCAGCACAGUGGCACGUGCCUGUAGUCCCAGCUACUUGGAGGUGCUGAGGUGGGAGGAUCGUUUGAGCCCAGCAAGUCGAGGCUGCAGUAAUCCGUGAUCACACCACUGCACUCUAGCCUGGGUGACAGAGCAAGAUCUUGGCCACCUUUCCACCAAAAAACCCAGAAGGUUUUGUAAUAUCAGAGUAUAAAUUUUAUACUUCUAUUAAUGUACAAGUAUUUUAAUCUUAAAUAUUUUGUUCUUCUGAUGCUAUUUUAAAUGGAAUUGUUUAAUUUUAUUUUGUUUGUUUAUUGUUACUAUCUAUAAAUCCAAUUGAUUUUUGUAUGUUGAUCUGUGUCCUACAACCUAGCUGAACUCACUUAUUAUUAGUUCUAAUAAUUUUUUAGUGGAAUCCGUAGGAUUUUCUAAAUACAAGAUUAUGUCAUCUUCAAAUAGAGGUAGUUUUACUUCUUCAUUUUCCAACUGGAUGCCUUUUAUUUUAUUUUCUUGCCUAAUUGACCUAGCUAGAACAUGCAGUACAAAGUUAAAUAGAAGUAGCAAAAACCAACAUUCUUUUCUUGUUCCUGAUGUUAAGGGGAAUGCAACCAAUCUUUUACCAUUAAGUAUGACAAAAGCUGUUCUUCAUAGAUGCCCUUAAUCAGAUUGAGGAAUUUCCCUUCUACUUCUAGUUGAUUGAGAGUUUUUAUCAUAAAGGGUGUUGAAUUUUGUCAAAUGCAUUUUCUGUGUCUACUGAAAUGAUCAUAUGGUUUUUAUUUUUUGGUGUAUUAUAUUAAUUGAUUUCAGAUAUUGUUUGGUCAUUUUAAAAUACAUUCACAGGCCAUUUGUUUUCUUCUCUGAAAUACUAUUAAUAUCAUUUGCCCAUUUUCUACUGGAUUAUUUGUCUUUUCCUAACUGACUUGUAAAAACUUUUAAUAUAGCCGAAUAUCUUUAUCAGUUACAUGUGUAGCCAAUAUUUCCCCCAAAUUUGUAGUUUGUUCUUUCCCUCUUUUAAUGACAUCUCCCGAUGAACAGCAGAUUCCUUUUUUUUUUUAAGACGAUGUUUCUCUCUUGUUGCCCACACUGGAGUGCAAUGGCGCAAUCUUGGCUCACUGCAACAUCCACCUCCCGGGUUCAAGCCAUUCUCCUGCCUCACUCAGCCUCCCGAGUAGCUGGAAUUACAGGCAUGGGCCGCUAUGCCCAGCUAAUUUUUGUACUUUUAGUAGAGACGGGGUUUCUCCCUGUUCAUCAGGCUGGUCUCAAACUCCUGAUCUCAGGUGAUCUACCCGCUUCAGCCUCCCAAAGUGCUGGAAUUACAGGCGUGAGCCACCAUGCCUGGCCUGAACAGCAGAUUCUUAACCUCAGUGUUAUAAAAUUUUGAAAUCUUUGCUCUGUGGUUUGUAUCUUGGAGAUCUGUUUAUGAAAUCCUUCACUUCUUCCCAAGAUAAGCACAUAAUCCUAAAUUGUCUUGUAAAGUUUUGCCAUUCAUGGUUAGACCUCUACUUAAUCUGAACUUAAUUUUUUUAUUUUAAGAUGUGAGGUAGGAUCAGAUGUCCUGUUUCCCAUGUGAAUAUCCAGUUGUUUUGGACACGAUUAAUGUAGUUUCUCAGAUUUGCUAAGACUCCUCCAGGGUCCUCAGCUGAUGGCUCUUGAGGAGCUCCUGAUAACUCCAUGGCUACCGAAGCUGCUGCCUCAUCUACCAGCACUGCCAGCUGUCUUGACCUUUCCCAUAGAGAGUACCAGCUCCUGCAUAGCCUCCAUCUACCCAUUGCUGUGGGAGCACCAGUUGAUCUGACACCCACGCCCAAGCAGAAGGAACACAUAGUGUCUCUGGCUCCCCAUGCCACUGCCCACUGUAGGGGAGGCAGAAAUUUACUUGUACCUAUCCUUAGUGCUUAGUUGGGACAGAUCCUCAUGGUAAAAGACAGAUUCACAAGAGAAUUAAUUAUUAUUAUUAUUAAUACGUGCAGUGCAUAUCAUGCAGGAGAAGCCUCAACAAAGAAUAGCUCAAAGCAGUAGCUUAAAACUCCUGCUCAUAUAGCAUCUUCAACCAAGAACAAUAACUUUGUAGAGAAAUGACAGGACAAAGGAAAGCAGUUCUAAAUAAUAUCUUCAAAUUUGUCUUCUAAUUCAACAAUGUAGUUUUCAGCUUUACUAAAUUCUGUAUUUUAUUCCAAAAUGAAAACAUUUUAAAUUAUAAUAUUUAUUAUUUCUGUUAAUAUAGUCAAGCUUCUCUAUUCUUCAAAUACAUUAAACAUUAUUUUAUCAUCUGCAUUUGAUAAUUCCAGUGUCUGAAGUUUUUGGGUUUUUUUUUUUUUUGAGACAGAGUCUGGCUCUUGUCAUCCAGGCUGGAGUGCAGUGGCACUAUCUCAGCUCACUGCAACCUCUGCCUCCUGGGUUAAGGCUAUUCUCCUGCCUCAGCCUCCUGAUGAAGUUUUAAGGCCUAAUUCUGCCAUCUCUUGUCACUGUUUGCUGUCAUGUCUUAAUUUCAUUUGCAUUUGAGAUGGCUGAUUGUAAAUGGCUUUGUCUAUAUUGAUUAUUUUGAGAUUUUUGUUGAAGGAUUUGUGUUUAUAUCUGCCAGUUACCUUGGGCAAUAUACAUUGGCACUACUUUAAAUCUUCCUCUUGAGGUUUUUCAGAACACACAGCUUCCAUGAAAAAUGACUACAAACCUCCAUGAAGACUGAAUUGUAUUUUCUAAUAUGCAAUGUAUUUUUUUCCUCCCCACACCAGGAUGGAAAUUGACUGGCUUCCUCAUGGUCUGCUGAUCUUACUGCUUACUCAUCCAUUCACUGAAGGGUCCUUAGAGGUCCCAUGUCUAUGCAGGUGUCUCUUUUCAGACUCUUCACCCAAAUAGACUAGGCUUUACCUUCUGUUUCCUCAACGCUGCCUCUGUAGCUGUCAAGGUAGAAUUUCAAAAUAUCUAGGACUGGGCAGAAUCCUAUAGAGAAAAGCUGGCCCAUGUUACCUUGUCCCUCACCCCUGACACCACUAGGUAGGGUUCUGCUUUAAUUUCAUUUUUGGCCUCUAUGAGUUUCUGCUUCUUGUAUAAACACACAGUGUACCAUAAAAGAUAGUUCUUAUAUAUCUCUAGCAUUUUCACUAUUUUAAUUGGAAAAGUCAUGUAUUGUCUGUAGUCCACCCCACUGCCUUCAAUGAAGGUAUACAGUUGUUUAAAAAUUGUCAUUAGUUAACAACAUUUUAAACUAAGAUUUCCAUGAUAAUACAGAUUUACCAGCCUCUCUUGAAAAAUUAUAAUGUCUUGGCAACACUGGGCUCUCAUUUGCCCAAAGAGCUGGAAUAAGGUAGUAUACCAUCAAGAGGGUUUAAAUUCACCUAUUUGUAAAUAUCUCAAUCACUGUUAAUUGUUCUACGCCCAGCAGAAGGCAUUUGAGUUUGUGAUCCAUGCAAUUGAGAGAGUGGUCUAGACCUAGACAGCCUGAAUUUUAUUCUGAGCUCUGCUACUUACUGGCUACAGAAGCUCAGAAAAUUCACGUAACUCUUGGAAUCUCAGGGUCCUCAUAUCUAAAAUGGAAAUAAUAAUAGGACCUACCUCAUACACGUGUGGUAAGUAUUAAAGGACGUUAUGCAUGUCUUUCAAGUCUAAGUUUGAAAUUUUUAAGGUGGCUUAUAUGGUGUCCCCACAAUCUGGUCCUGCCGACUUCUCCAGCCUCAUUUCUACCCUCUCCCUUUUAUUCUAUGCUCAAGCAAAUGAGAAAUCUUUCCAUUUUUAUCUUGACUUUUUGUAUUUAUAUCUGCUGUCAUCUCUGCCUAGAAUACUGCCUCCUCCCACACCCCAGGCUAAUAUCCAUUCAUACUUCAAGAUUCCAUUUAACUUUAAUUCCUUAUGGGUACCUCCUCAUAGUCUUAAGACUAGGCUAAAUCCCCUAUAUAUAAGCUCCUACUUUCACUUUGUAAUACAUAUCACACUCACAGUUUCUUGUUGUAUAUCUAUUUCUCCUGUUGAAAUGUGAGCUUUUUGAAUACAGGAUCCCUAUUUGUCUUGUUCAUCCUUAUAUUAGUGAGGCCUAGUCAAGGACUGGCACAAGGAAGGUCCUCAAUAAAGGUUUAUGGGAUUGAAUCAGAUAAAUGGAGCUGGUAUUAUCACACUGCCUUGUCAACACUCCUCUUCAAGUGCAACAUCAAAAUAAAAUACAAUAAUCCAGAUAUGCCUUCAUAUAAUAUGGCCCCUUAAUGUGUUCAUAUUAAUGGAUAUAUGUACACCAGGAUUGUGCUAACAUUUUUGUUUUCAUAUCUUUUAUCAUCUCUAUUAGAGAAGUAACUGAAGGAAUAAAGUAGAAUCAGUGUUGUUAUCUUUAUCUCUGAAAGGCAGCACUUUCUCGGGCUGUGCAUAAAAAAAUACUUAGAGACAUGAAAGACCUAUGAGGUCAUGAGUUUCUCUUCUUAAAUAUAUAUUUUUAAAUCUUUCAACGUCAUCAUUAUAUAAUAAUACCAGUGUGAGGAUUAGACAGGUAUCAGCAGGGCAUUUAGUUGUGUUGUUAUUUUGGUUGUUCAUGAAUCUGAGCUAGAAUUCUGAGCAGUAGCUCUUGGAUAAAGUGGAGUAUACAUACAUCUGCUCAAAUAGAUUAAAUCUCCAAUUUCAACCAACUCCUUUGGUAUGAAAAAAUUCAGAUGAUAGGGCCGGGUGCAGUGGCUCACGCCUGUUAAUCCCAGCACUUUGGGAAGUCGAGGCGGGCAGAUCACGAAGUCAGGAGAUCGAGACCAUCCUGACCAACAUAGUGAAACCCCGUCUCUACGAAAAUACAAAAAAAUUAGCCGGUGUAGUGGCGCACACCUGCAGUCCCAGCUACUAGGAUGGCUGAGGUAGGGGAAUCGCUUGCACCCAGGAGGCGGAGGUUGCAGUGAGCUGGAUUGCACCACUGCACUCCAGCCUGGCGCAGAGCAAGACUCCGUCUAAAACAAAACAAAACAAAACAAAAUUCAGAAGAUAAUUUGAAUAAAAAGAAGAGAAGGUAGAAGAAUAGGAAAGUAUAGAAAGUGUGUUUUUCCAUAUAAAAAGAUUAGAUCAAUAGCCCCACGUUUUUAAAAAAACAAAAAGAUUGUUGAUAAUUACUGAUACACUGACUGAUAAAAGAUAUUUGACUAUUAUAAAAUACUCCUCUAUAUGCUUGUCUUCUUACAAGGUAGUUUAGUUGUUCAGAAUACAGAUGAGAAAUUGAAGCUGUCGUGGGAAUCAUCCUCACAUCUGAGACUAAAAAUAUAGAACUAUCUUUGUAAUUUGAUAUACACAACACCAGGGCCUAAUUCUGGUUUUAAUAUUGGCUCACUUAAUAUUCGUAUAAAUUAAUCUGUAAGUAGAGUAUAAAGCAAAACUGGUAUUCAGAUGUUAUUAUUAGGAAAUAGUUAAUACUUUGAAAUGUUUUAGGGAUGUAGAUACAAAAAUUUUAAAAAAUAUACUUAACACUAUUUGCAGUAGAUAUCUCUGCAUUGGAUUAAAAAUGUUUGUGUCAAAAUAUUCCACAGUGAACAAAUACUACUUUAAUUAAUUAAUUUAUUUAUUUUGGAUUCAGGAGGUACAUGUGCAGGUUUGUUACAUGGGUAUACUGCAUGAUGCUCAGGUUUGGGCUAUGGAUGAUCCCAUUACCCAGGUAUUGAGCAUAGUACCCAAUAGGUAGUUUUUCCCCCACAUUCCACAUCCCUCUCCCUCCCUUCUGCCUCUAGUAGUCCCCAGUGUCUAUUGUUCCCUUCUUUAUAUCCGUAUAUACUCAGUGUUUAGCUCCCACUUGUAAAUGAGAACAUGCAGUAUUUGGUUUUCUGUUCCUGCAUUGUUUACUUAGGAUAAUGGCCUCCAACAGCAUCCACAUUGCUGCAAAGGACAUGAUUCUGUUCUUUUUUAUGGCUGCGCUGUAUUCCAUGGCGCAUAUAUAUAUAUAUAUAUAUAUAUAUAUAUAUAUAUAUAUCACAUUUUCUUUAUCCAGUCCACCAUUGAUGGGCACCUAGGUUGAUUCCACGGCUUUGCUAUUGUGAAUAGUGCUGCAAUGAACAUAUAAGUGCAUAUGUCUUUUUGGUAGAACAAUUUAUUUUCUUUUGGGCAUAUACCCAGUAAUGGGAUUGCUGAGUUGAAUGGUAGUUCUGUUUUAAGUUCUUUGAAAAAUCUCCAAACUACUUUCCACAGUGCAUUCCCACCAUUGGUGUAUAAACAUCCCUUUUCUCCACAGCCUCGCCAGCAUUUGUUAUUUUUUUGACUUUUUAAUAAUCGCCAUUCUGACUGGUUUUGCAGAUGCUACUUUCAUACUAUAAAAAAUACUAUUCAGCCUGACAAGGUGGCUCACGCCUAUAAUCCCAGAACUUUGGGAAGCUGGGGCAGGCAGAUCCCUUCAGCCCAGAAGCUCGAGAUCAGCCUGGGCAACAUGGCCAAACCACGUCUCUACAAAAAAAAACAAAAAUUAGUGGGGCGUAGUGGUACACGCCUGUAGUCACGGCCACUUGGAAGGUUGAGGUGGAAAGAUCACUUGAGCCCAGGAGGUUGAGGCUGCAGCGAGCUGAGAUUGCCACUGCACUCCAGCCUGGCAACAGAGCAAGACCCUGUCCCAAAAACAAACAAACAAAAAAUGAAACAAAACAAAUAUAUAUUUUUCCAAUGUUGUAGUUUUUUUUAUUCCACUCUUUUGUACUAUAAUUAUGCUUUCCAUAAUUAUGGAAGCACUAAACAAUAUUGAACCUAGCGUGGCCAUUUUAAGUUCUCUGGGGACCCAGGCUCUCUUUCUCUGAAGACCCAAUCUCUUCAACUUAGCAAAUAUAUUUAAAUGAACCUAUUGCAUCCAUAAACCAUAAUAAACAAGUUUUUCUUUAAAUUUUGGAACAUUAAUAAGUUUUGCUCUUCAAUGAUUUGAUUAUGAUUGGUACUAUAGAAUGAUUGACUGAUUUAUCACACAUCAUCAAACAUACUUGGGAAUUCUUGCCAAGUGAGUAAAUCUAAGUUACAAAUGGAAUGAAAUUUUAUUAAUAGUAAAUUAAUAAAAUCAGUGUAAUUUUAUAUUUUGUAACCAUUAAAUAAUCAUUCAUUAGUUUAUCUUUUAUAGUUUCUCUUUCUGUUUUGGAAUCAAUUAUAGUUGGCCUCUCAUAACCACAGAUUUCACAUCCACAGGUUCAACCAACCAUGAAUCAAAAAAAAAAAAUAUAUAUAUAUAUAUAGGAUAAUUUCACCUGUACUGAACAUGUACAGACCUUUUUUCUUGUCAUUAUUCCCUAAACAAUAGAGUAAAACAACUAUCUGCAUAGCAUUUACACUGUAUUAGAUAUUUUAAGUAAUCUAGAGAUGAUUUAAAGUAUAGGUUAUAUGAAAAUGCUACAUCAUUUUAUAUAAGGAACUUGAAUAUCCUUGGAUUUUGGUAUCUGCAGGGGGUCUUGGAACCAACCCCCUAGAGAUACUGAGAGAUAACUAUAAUUCUUUUUAAAUUCUCAAACAUUUCUGAAUCCUGUGAGCAGCUAAUCAGCCCUGGGCACAAUGGCUAUAUGACUUUGGACAUAAGAAUUAAUACCCAAUUGCUUCAGCUGCCAAAUUCUGAUCCUGGUUCUAUCCCAGAUAUACUCCUGGGAAGUGCUCAGGUUCAAUGUCAUAAUCUUUUCUUUAUUUAUGAUACAGUCACUUUAUUAAUUGUUGUUAAUAAUACCUAUGUGGAAGCAAAGCAUUUGUUCUUUUCUUCAUUAAAUAAUGACAUAUGAUUGAUACUUUUAUACACUUCAAAUAAUUAAUAAAUGGUUAAGGGGAUCAGAACAUGCCACCUCCAAUUAUGCCACUUUGGUAUAUUAGUUAUUUUGAGCUGAAGGCAAUUGAGAAGCAGCAGAUGCAGGAAGGGCUCUCUGACCUUCCCGCUUCUACUUCAAAGCAGGGCAUACAUUUCCCAGAAUAAAAGUGCCUUUCCUGUCCCAGGAAGAGCAGAACAUUUUUAUCACCUGAGAUGGGGAGUUAACAGCAAGAUGAAUCCAUACCAACUUACUAAAAUAACCCUUCUCUUCCAUUAGUUUCCCCCUAUAUUUCCUAGUUGCUUUCCCAUGAUUUACUGCUCUAGCCCAGUUUUUUUUUUUUUUUUUUAGACAGAGUCUUGUUCUGUCACCCAGGCUGGAGUGCAGUGGCACAAUCGGCUCACUGCAACCUCUGCCUCCUGGGUUGAAGUGAUUCUCCUGCCUCAGCCUCCCGAGUAGCUGGGACUACAGACACGUGCCACCAUGCCCAGCUAAUUUUUUGUAUUUUUAGUAGAGAUGGGGUUUCACCAUGUUAGCCAGAAUGGUCUCAAUCUCCUGACCUCGUGAUCCACCUGUCUCAGCCUCCCAAAGUGCUGGGAUUACAGCCAUGAGCCACCGCACCCGGCCAGUAGACGGGGUUUCGCCAUGUUGGCCAGGCUUGUCUCAAACUCCUGACCUCAGGUGAUCCGCCCGCCUCAGCCUCCCAAAGUGCUGGGAUUACAGGCAUGAGCCACCACACUCAACCCAAACUUCUUUUUUCUUUGUCUUAUUGCAACUCAAAAAUUUAUCAUUCUUUGUUAAAAUUGCAUAUAGGCUCUCAGACCUAUCUGCUUCUUUAGGUCUUCAUUUCUGAUAUACAAAGGCCUCUAUAUAUACAUAAAAAUAUUGACAUCAAGUAAAAUGUGUAUGCUUUUCUCUUGUUAAUUUAUCUUUUGUCAGUUUAAUUAUCAGACCAGCCAUAGAACUUAAGAGGGUAGAAGAAAGUCUUUCCUGCCCUACAAUGGUAAUAUAUAAUACAACAAAUACCCUUUUAUUAACACAUAUUUAUCAGCAAAUUCUAGAAUUUCCUUCCUCCAAAAUUUUGGCAGGGUAAAUUGUUCUACUUUGUUGAAAUUAACAUAUGCAUUAAAAACAUAUCAUUUUUCCUUGUCCCAUGCUCAUUUUAUACUUUCUGUCUUCACUGACCCUUGCAGCCUCAUGAUUAGGCUUUUUAGUCUCUGGACGUAGGUUCUUGGGGAUACCAGAACUCAAUGUCCACUGGAGUAACAGCUUCAGGACUGUCAUUCUAAGGUCCACAGUUACUUCACAUCCUUAGGUUCUCUGUGGUGGCUAGACACCCCUACUUCCUAUUUCUGCAUUAUCUUUUUUUCUAAAUAUUCUCAAAUGAAUAACUCCUUUUAUACUAAAAAUUCUCCAAGUUUUGGAAAAAUAUAGAGGAAAAAAGUUCUGAUUUUAUAAUUUUCUGCCAGAUAAACUCAAAGUUGGGAAGAGAUUACUUUAAUCAUAAUACAGUUGAAUAUGUAGGAAAAUGUUAAAGACAGGUAGAAAGUACAAUGACAACACACUGGGGGGAGUUCAUUCAGCCACCUAUGUCAGGACCACCUGGGGGUCUAGAUAAAAACGUGUUUUUUGGAUUACCCCCCAGAACUGAGUCAGAUUAAAGUAACAUUUUUAAUCCGCUCCCUGGCAUUUCUGAAACAUUCUAUAGUUUGAGAACUGGUAGAACUUGCAGUUAUAGACACUAUUGGCCCACACAACACCUUUUUUGUCCUGCACCCAUUCAGAAGCAUAAAACUAUUUUUGCAUGGACUCUAUUCCAAGUCAUAUUUGCAGUGUGAAGAAGGGUGAUGGAAGACAGCAGUUCCUCCCUCUGACCACAAGGGAGAAUUUCCUUUUGAGGCUUCCAGGCCACCCUAUGAUUCCAGAGGAUAGGCCUUAGUACAGAAGGGCAGAGAAUAGCCAGGCUGUUCAUGUGGAAAGAGAAGUGUAAUAAUUCCAUAUGGUUUCCUCUUCUCAUGAUGUUACUUCAUUUUCAGAGUCACUGUAGAUGUAGAAAUCAUUACAAAUUUAUGUUGCCUUAAAUGUUAGUCUGUUUUACAAUCUCAGAAAGCCAUUUUAUUUAUUUUAAUGCAAAAAUAUAUUAAUACAUGCUAGAACUUGUUAAAAGUAUAAAUGAUUUAUGAAUUAUAUGUUUUAUUUAGUAAACAUAUUCAUAUGUAAAAGGUAAAGAUAAUAAUUUUCAAAAUAAAUGGUGAUUCUGAUACUAAUGUCUUUAGAGCAGAGGUGUUUCUGCUUUUGGCUUCCCUGGUCCAUAUUGGAAGAAGAAUUGUCUUGGGCCACAUGUAAAAUACACUAACAUUAAC